rnacentral:rRNA from 1 species
AGAGUUUGAUUCCGGCUCAGGACGAACGCUGGCGGCGCGCUUAACACAUGCAAGUCGAACGUGAAGCCCGGGCUUGCCCGGGUGGAAAGUGGCGAACGGGUGCGCAACACGUGAGCAACCUGCCCCNAAGACCGGGAUAACACCGGGAAACCGGUGCUAAUACCUGAUGCCCUCAUCAUGUCGCAUGGCGAGAUGAGGAAAUGGAUUCCGCUUCNGGAUGGGCUUUCGGCCUAUCAGCUUGUUGGUGGGGUAACNUUUUACCAAUUCUACUACGGGUACUGGUCUGAGAGGAUGUUAGCCACANUGGGACUGUUACACGGUCCAACUCCUUCUGGAUGCACCAGUGGGGANUCUUG